rnacentral:lncRNA from 1 species
CAGCAGCAGUGAGGAAGCUGCAGGGAGUGGAAGGGUGCCGAUGCAGUGCCAGGGAAGGCGAAGUCGUUCGCAAUGAAUCCAUGGCAGCUUCGAUCGAGCGGUGAGCUGGAGCACCUACUCACAGGCCACUCCUUCAUGUGACUGAACAGAGACCUUUCCCAGCAAUCGCCAAGGAGAGCAGAGCCCUGGAUUUACCUCCCGCGCAGCCGGGCACCCCCAGCGCAGGCACUGCGAGCAGCCAAUGAACCUCCAGGGCCAAAGGAUAAAUGCACCAUCGCUGGAGUAUUGCAGCAUUUAGAAGCCUCACUCACUGACUCACAGCUGUCUGACCCCUCCACCACAACCACUUUGAAUUUGUCUCGGCACCCAGCCACCUUCUCUGCUGAGGUGUAGCUGGAUAAUCCUUGUGCUUUUACAGUGCCUGCCUGUGUGCAGCACUGAGGUGAGACCACACUUUCUUCUCGCUUAUUUUGGUACGGGGGGAGCACUGGUCUUGUGAUGCAUUUGCCAGACCUUCAUUCUAUGAAUGCAGCAAAACAGCACUGAAAUAAACCA